rnacentral:rRNA from 1 species
AUUGAACGCUGGCGGCAGGCCUAACACAUGCAAGUCGAGCGAGCGGCGGACGGGUGAGUAAUGUCUGGGAAACUGCCUGAUGGAGGGGGAUAACUACUGGAAACGGUAGCUAAUACCGCAUACUAUCAGAUGUGCCCAGAUGGGAUUAGCUAGUAGGUGUGGUAAUGGCUUACCUAGGCAACGAUACCUAGCUGGUCUGAGAGGAUGACCAGCCACACGGGAACUGAGACACGGUCCAGACUCCUACGGGAGGCAGCAGUGGGGAAUAGUGCACAAUGGACGAAAGCCUGAUGCAGCCAUGCCGCGGGUGGGAAGAAGGCCUGCGGGUUGUAAAGCACUUUCAGCGGGGAGGCGUUACCCACAGAAGAAGCACCGGCUAACUCCGUGCCAGCAGCCGCGGUAAUAC